UACGUAGGGGGCAAGCGUUGUCCGGAAUCAUUGGGCGUAAAGCGCGUGUAGGCGGCUCGGUAAGUCCGCUCUGAAAGCCCGGGGCUCAACCCCGGGAGGCGGGUGGAUACUGCUGAGCUCGAGUCCGGAAGAGGAGUGUGGAAUUCCUGGUGUAGCGGUGAAAUGCGCAGAUAUCAGGAGGAACACCGGUGGCGAAGGCGGGUCUCUGGACAGUUCCUGACACUGAGACACGAAGGCCAGGGGAGCAAACGGG
rnacentral:rRNA from 1 species